rnacentral:rRNA from 1 species
GACGCUGGCGGCAGGCCUAACACAUGCAAGUCGAACGAUCCUUCGGGAUAGUGGCAGACGGGUGAGUAACGCGUGGGAACCUUCCCUGUGGUACGGAAUAGCUCCGGGAAACUGGAAUUAAUACCGUAUACGCCCCUUGGGGGAAAGAUUUAUCGCCAUAGGAUGGGCCCGCGUCGGAUUAGCUUGUUGGUGAGGUAAUGGCUCACCAAGGCGACGAUCCGUAGCUGGUCUUAGAGGAUGAUCAGCCACACUGGGACUGAGACACGGCCCAGACUCCUACGGGAGGCAGCAGUGGGGAAUAUUGGACAAUGGGCGCAAGCCUGAUCCAGCCAUGCCGCGUGAGUGACGAAGGCCUUAGGGUUGUAAAGCUCUUUUGGCGGGGAAGAUAAUGACGGUACCCGCAGAAUAAGCCCCGGCUAACUUCGUGCCAGCAGCCGCGGUAAU